ensembl:lncRNA
UGCUUCCUGCCCUUUAUAAGCUAGAAAAAGGAUCUACGCAGGCUAGAUUCACUGGAACGGGAGGCAGCGUCUGAUCCCAUGGUCCAAACCAGCAGGUGGAGCUCAGAGCCACUGGCAACAGUGGGUUAGCAGCAGUUGAGUCAUAAGAAAUGCAAGGGUUCUGAACCAUCCAAUCAGACGCCAAGGCUGCCCUCUGAAACCAUGACAUCAGCGUGGCGACGCUUUGCUGUAAACAUGUCUCAUAUCUCCUCCCAAGGGACUUCUUUGUUAACGCGCUACCGUAAAUGUAUGUUUCUUUUCACCUCUCCAAGGAAGCCAGGGUGAAUGACUGCUGUCAGCAGCGGCGGCCGUCAGGGGAAAUGAUUAGUGCUACAAGCCUGUCACCUUUCUUCUCCACCCCUUGAGUAUUACCGUAAAGGAGUGAUGCCUUCAUCGCGACGCGCUCAUUUUUCAUGACGAAGGCACGGGGUCGGACUUGUGAAGGGGCGACCAGCGGAUGACAUCGUGCAGGUCCAUGGACAGCUGUCAGGCUGAGUCAGGUACCAGCCACAAGCCCAUCACAAACGGUGGUGGACAGAGAGCAACGAGCAAAGGGCCAGCGGAGACAUACAUUCUCAUGCGGUCGGAUCAGUGUUCACAGUCACAUUCUGUGCUAAGCUUGGCAUGCAAGCGAUAACAACAAGGACGCAGGAGUGAACUGUCAAGGGGAGGAGAGAAACUUUGGAUACACAAGAGACGAGUUCCGCCUGCUCCACCCCCAACAAUGGAACUCCUCUACCGACAGGGAAACGGUGGCACCUGGUCUCUUCAGAUAAUCUAUUUAUGGCUUUCACACUUCAUUAAACCCAAACUGAAAAGCUUGGCUCUUGAAUGUGUUUAUCAAAUGUCCCAGUGUUAUCAGUCACAGAUGCAAACAUGUGACUGCUGCGCACUGAUUACAGUUCACAAAGUAUUCUUAGAGCUGGAAAGAGAAGAAACUACUGAGAUGUGGAUGCCUUAUAAAGGCCCCGUUGUAAAUGCCCGAGCUGCUGCGUGUGCUACAACCUGCUCAUUGUGUGUGCGCCUCACGUUCGUGUGUCACUGAUCAUAACUUCUGGAGGAUUGUUUUUCCCUGGGGUCCGUUAUUUGCAUUUGAUGAUACAACAUUUGAACCUUGAAGCAACCUUCUAAAAACAAGUCGUAAGUUAAUUUACGAUAGGUGCUGUUGCAUACUAUUAACCGUGCCGAAAGGUUUUCCAUUGUGUGGUGAACCUUUAUUGUAGGAGACACAAAAGAUCAUUGAAUUUUCAGCCCAAACAUUUAAAAAAAAACUGAUUUGCGAAAUGUCAGCAGGUUCUUGUUUUGUCUUCUUGUUAAAAUAACGUCACGGAUCAAACGCCACAGGUUCCUGCUGUAACACCAGAACCACAGAGAAAUGUUGCUUUCAUGAACAAAUGAGAUAUUUCCUGUGGUCAGCGAUAUGAAGAUCAACACUAUGAAGUGGGGAAGAAAGAAUUGUAGUGAUUUUUUUUUUUUUACUACAACACUAGCAAUCCGCAUCCCGUAAUUAAUCCUUUUUGCUGAAACAGAGACUACGCGGUGAUUCCGCCGCUCAGGCUGAUCCCACACCAGUUUCCCAGGAGCAGUAAUUAAUCCAUAUAUGGACACGCACACCACGCACCACGCCCACAUCACCUCCUCGUCUGCGGGCCUGCUGCGGCCUGCGGUCGCCCUGCCCCGCUGCCCCGCUGCCAGGAAGUCCAGGAGCCCGGUCCCCGCCCCGCCCCGCCCCGCCCGGCCUCCUCCGCGCAUCCAUUGUUGGGCAAUAACAGUCCGCGACAUCGAAACGGCCUGAACCGAAACUUUUCCAGGGAACUAACUACCGAACGGACUUUUCUCCCCCACACACACGCCAACUCUGCGAUAUAUGCGUUUCAGGGGACGUUUGCUCUAAAGCAGCCAGUUUAGCGCAACUACACUGAGACCGUUGAGGGAAGGGAAGGGAGGAAAACUUGUGAGGGAAGGAAUUCGGAAACUCGUUCCUCCAUUUUGAACUUUUAAACUCCAGCUUUUCUGGUGGAUUGUUGUUGGUAAGUUUGUGACCC